GCGUGAGUGAUGACGGCCUUAGGGUUGUAAAGCUCUUUCGCGCACGACGAUAAUGACGGUAGUGCGAGAAGAAGCCCCGGCUAACUUCGUGCCAGCAGCCGCGGUAAUACGAAGGGGGCUAGCGUUGUUCGGAAUCACUGGGCGUAAAGGGUGCGUAGGCGGAGACUUAAGUCAGGGGUGAAAUCCCGAGGCUCAACCUCGGAACGGCCUUUGAUACUGGGGCUCUUGAGUCCGGAAGAGGUGAGUGGAACUGCGAGUGUAGAGGUGAAAUUCGU
rnacentral:rRNA from 1 species